GAUGAACGCUGGCGGCGUGCCUAAUACAUGCAAGUCGAGCGAACAGACGAGGAGCUUGCUCCUCUGACGUUAGCGGCGGACGGGUGAGUAACACGUGGAUAACCUACCUAUAAGACUGGGAUAACUUCGGGAAACCGGAGCUAAUACCGGAUAAUAUAUUGAACCGCAUGGUUCAAUAGUGAAAGACGGUUUUGCUGUCACUUAUAGAUGGAUCCGCGCCGCAUUAGCUAGUUGGUAAGGUAACGGCUUACCAAGGCAACGAUGCGUAGCCGACCUGAGAGAGUGAUCGGCCACACUGGAACUGAGACACGGUCCAGACUACUACGGGAGGCAGCAGUAGGGAAUCUUCCGCAAUGGGCGAAAGCCUGACGGAGCAACGCCGCGUGAGUGAUGAAGAUCUUCGGAUCGUAAAACUCUGUUAUUAGGGAAGAACAAAUGUGUAAGUAACUAUGCACGUCUUGACGGUACCUAAUCAGAAAGCCACGGCUAACUACGUG
rnacentral:rRNA from 1 species